CUGUGACCCUGCUCCUCCUCCUAGUCCUUGCUUUGGCCGCCUGGCACUUUGCCUGAUUAACAAUCAUUUGAUGCUUGCUGUUUAGGCAUGAAGUAUGUGACUACUUCAUUUGUAAAUUAUUCCUACAUUUUCUAUGAGAAUCUCUAUCAACUGUUUUUGUAGACUCGCUAGCCAACAAUGUAAAGCUAGACGUCUCUUGUCUUAGCGGGAAACAUUGAAAGUGAUCCUGAAAUUCGUCGAGACUCAUCCGAAUUAUUGGUGGGGAUGCGUCCCUACCCUCACACCCUACACCUGAGCCCGUGAUUUAUUCCACAGCUUCUACAUGGCAUUCUUUUGUCUGUCCGGUUGUGUGGUCCACUGUCCGGUUUUGUGGUCAGUCACAACAAUAAAGAAUGUGGUAAAUGCGCUGCGAGCUGCCUGUCCGUACGGCUGGCACGCGGCUCGGACACACGUCAACACCACGCAGGGGAUGCAAUCACAGGUCUCCUCACAGUCCCCGAGUCCAUGAUAGAAGCCGGGAAGCGGACGGUACUAAACAGAACCAUGCCCACGCGGACCUCUUUGCAACCCCGGGGGAAAUUACCAGAGGGCCACCAAAAACAAAACAAAAAACACAAGAGAACUUAAGGGGAUCCCAGAACGAUUGGCUACUCUUGGAAUGUAAAAGAAAUUGACAUCGCUAGCGUCGAUAUCGACGGUGUUGACGUCGUCAUGGGUUGGUGGGCCUAUAAAAUAUGUAAACUCUGCGAGAAAGUUACAGUAGAUUGCGCAAGAUUAGUCUUGGUCCCACAUGGCGCUCUACAGCCUUACAGGGCCUGCUGAAAAGAAGUACACCAUUGUGAAAAGUGUGUGACUGUUGAUACUAUGUUCCAUGGUCUAACUACUGUAUAUGCAUUCCUGUUCUUUUGAUUCCGGUUGUACUGGCCUUACUGUUAUGUAGUCCCAAUGUUCUAUGGUAUCACUGUACAUAAUUCACACUCCUCAAGAGGCCUUAACAUUCUAUAGGCUUUCUGUUCUAUAGCCUUUCAGUUCAAUAGUCAUCAUGGUCAUACUGUUCAAAAGGCCAAAAUGUUCUAUAGUAUUACUGUUCUAUAGCCUCACUGCUCUAUAGUAUUACUGUUCUAUAGCCUUACUUUUCUGUAGUCUUGCUGUUUUACAGUCUUACAAUUCUACAUGUCUCACUUUUCUACAGCCUUACUGUUCUGUAGUCUUUUUGUUCACGGCUUACUAUGGACAUUAAAAUGGCCAGACUAAUAAAGCAGACAACACAAUGUAUACCCUGGCAGGA
ensembl:lncRNA